GGAGACUCCUUAAAUACAGAUGCCAUUGAUAAGAUGAUUCAAAAGAAACUACCUGGAACUGACAUCCUGCCUCUAGAGACCGGGAAGGACACAAUGGAGGAUAUGGAGAACAACGUCUUGAAUGUCACUUCCCAAAUGUGUGAGCUUCUUGCUAAGGAUCCUAAAUUUCAGCAAUACUACAUGGCUUUUACAAUUUCCAGAAAAGUCUACAUCUUGAAGAGAUGCUCAAUGCCUCCCUUCAAAUUUAUCUCAUUUUUUGGCAGAUAGGCAUUAAGAUUGAUGAAGCAACUUUCUUCGAUCUCAAAUCCAGUGGUUGGUCCCAACCCACAGCAAGUACAAGGCAUCAUGAACACAGCAGUGCUCUGCAUCUCAUUUUGUCUCUUGAGACACAACCUAACUGCAAAAAGCCAAUCCCUCCCCCCAUUCCCUAUCCUUGGUCCUCCUCCUUCCUAACUUGGUAAAAGGUUCCUAGUCUUAAAAAAAGGCAUGCUUGCUUAGUGUGAGCUUUUCUCAGGUUCUCUGAAAUAAACCCGCCUGUGUUUGA